GCAGAAACGUAAGGGGCCUCCGGGGCCUCCUGGACCUCCUGGGGAUGAAGGACCAAUUGGGCCACCUGGAAUUACCGGGAAGCAAGGACGAAAAGGAGUUGAAGGGAAAAUCGGCAGUCCUGGACCGCGGGGGGUCCCGGGUCCUCAGGGCCGACCCGGGCGGGACGGGACCCUGGGAAACCCUGCUGCCCCGGGACAUCCAGGCCUACCAGGAGAACAGGGCCCCCAAGGCUACAGAGGAGAGAGAGGCAGCAAAGGGGAG